AACGAACGCUGGCGGCAUGCCUAACACAUGCAAGUCGAACGAAGCCUUCGGGCUUAGUGGCGCACGGGUGCGUAACACGUGAGAAUCUGCCCUUCGGUUCGGAAUAACAGUUAGAAAUGACUGCUAAUACCGGAUGAUGACGUAAGUCCAAAGAUUUAUCGCCGAAGGAUGAGCCCGCGUAGGAUUAGGUAGUUGGUAGGGUAAUGGCCUACCAAGCCGACGAUCCUUAGCUGGUCUGAGAGGAUGAUCAGCCACACUGGGACUGAGACACGGCCCAGACUCCUACGGGAGGCAGCAGUGGGGAAUAUUGGACAAUGGGCGAAAGCCUGAUCCAGCAAUGCCGCGUGAGUGAUGAAGGCCUUAGGGUUAUAAAGCUCUUUACCAGGGAUGAUAAUGACAGUACCUGGAGAAUAAGCUCCGGCUAACUCCGUGCCAGCAGCCGCGGUAAU
rnacentral:rRNA from 1 species